UCCAGGCUCAGCAGCAUGCUUUCAACCAGGGAAGUGUAGGAAACAAACAGUAUGCUUUGAAGCAAAAGACUUGACGUGGUCAAACCCAGGCAAAACACUUGUGGUUUUUACAUCCUAGGCUGGAACACCGUAGUUUAGUAAAAAGAUUGUUUUGUUUUGCUGUAGCUGAGAUUUUUUCCAGUAUCAAAAUAUUUUAACUUCUUGGGAAUGGGUUCUGGGAUCAUAGAAUCAUCAGAUGGUUUGGGUUGGAAGGGAUCUUCAAAGAUCACCUAGAGGAAGCCCACCUGCCAGGGGCAGGGGCAUCUUCCGAUCAGGUUGCUCAAAGCUUCAUUCAACCUGAUAUUGGACGGGUUUAGGCCACAAUAAUGUCUUCCUGGAGUCUUCUCCAGGCUGAACAACCCCACCUCUCUGACUUUUUUCACAGGAGAGGAGGUAAACCUGCAAUUAAGAGGCAGCUUGAGUAAGCCAGUUCCCCUCAUGCUGUGCUCUGGGUUAGCUCACCAGGUGAAAUUCUCUGGCUGCUGCAAGUAUUCCACGUGAUUGUGUGCACGAGCAACCUCCCCUUCUCAAGCACUGAUUACACAGGCUUUUGAGAAACAUGGCUAUGGGAACACAGACCUGAGAACACGAUGUACACAAAGUACAGAAGUUCAAGUCCAGUUGGCACCUUGUGGGUUUUUGUGAGUUGUUUUUGCCUGUACCAUGCCCAUGGCUUCAACAUAAUGCUGUGCUGAUGAUACUGCACUGAGCAAACUUGUUAAGAACAGCUUAUGUGAGCCAGAGAAAAUGAAGAGGCAAAACUGCUUGAGAAGGAAGACCUAUCUGCUAAAGUUUUACACUGGAAAAAAAUUAGCUGCAUAGGAAGAUUAGGCAAUGUAUUAGCUAUGAAAGUACAAACAGUUGCUUCCUUUGUUGAUGUAAUUGGCUUUUCCAGAUUUGCAUAACCUCCACUUGAAUUCUCUUAAAAUACUGAAUGUGCUGGAAUGGUAUGCUGUCAAAAUCCCAAGUGAUAACUGUGUUCAUCCCACAACCACUGAUUUCUAGCAACACCGAGCUGAGUAACUGUAGUGAAGAGGUCAAAAGUAUAUAAAGAAUGACAAGUUAUUUCAAGAUACCUGGAGGACCUGGUAAACCUUCUCGACCUGGAUCACCUCGUGUACCAUUUAGCCCUGGGAAUCCCAUGGGACCUGGAUCACCUGGGAAUCCUCUUGCACCUUUCACACCUAAAUUAUAUGAAAGAAAGACCAGGAAAUCCAUGUUGACCCGAGAAACCCUGGUGUUACAUGCAAUGAAAUAAAGAAGAAACAGAACCACUUAAAUCAGAAAAGCUUCUGUAAAUUAUUUCUUCUUUAGUAAUCCCAUGCUGGCCAGGAGUUCCUGGAAAGCCAGGAGGGCCAGGGGGACCAGUAGAGCCCCUUCUCCUUUCCUCAUCCAAAAGGCAUGUACUGCAAUCUCCUUCUUCACCUAAGGAAAGGAUUGGAAAGAGAAGAAAGAAUGGGGCUCCAGCAGGACCAGGUGGACCACGGAGUCCUGGUGUGCCAUGUUUACCCGGAAAGCCGGGUGGGCCUGCCUGAUAAGCAGGAGAUCCUGAUUCACCUUUUUCACCUUUCGGUCCCAUUUCUCCAGGAAUGCAUGGAUGCCUUUUGAUCAGCAAUCCAGCUUCAGCAGGACAAAGAAGCCACCUGCCUGCAGAGCAGUGAUCAGAGCACUCUCUUGGAAGGCAAUUAUACCUUCUGGGACAGUUCAGCAAACCAGUCUUUUAAGGAGUCGAAUCCUCAAA